rnacentral:rRNA from 1 species
GUAGGUGGCAAGCGUUGUCCGGAAUUAUUGGGCGUAAAGCGCGCGCAGGCGGUCCUUUAAGUCUGAUGUGAAAGCCCACGGCUCAACCGUGGAGGGUCAUUGGAAACUGGGGGACUUGAGUACAGAAGAGGAAAGCGGAAUUCCAAGUGUAGCGGUGAAAUGCGUAGAGAUUUGGAGGAACACCAGUGGCGAAGGCGGCUUUCUGGUCUGUAACUGACGCUGAGGCGCGAAAGCGUGGGAGCAAACAGGAUUAGAUACCCUGGUAGUCCACGCCGUAAACGAUGAGUGCUAAGUGCUAGGGGGUUUCCCGCCCCUUAGUGCUGCAGCUAACGCAUUAAGCACUCCGCCUGGGGAUACGGCCGCAAGGCUG